rnacentral:lncRNA from 10 species
GCAGAAUUCUGAUAAGAUGGAGGAAAGAAAAGCCAGAGUGAAGCAGACCAUUAGCAGAUAAUUGUCAUAAUCUUGAUACUAAAUGGAGACCAGAAUUAAGUGACAGGUAGUGAGGGCUUGUAGAUAAACCAGCUAAGUUGAAGUCAGAAGGCAAAGGAUCCUUUGAUGUAGUCCAUUCAGAGCAGAAGGAGAAGAAUGCAGAGUGGAUCUGCAGGGACAAAUAGAAGAUGCAGCGCAAUGGAGAUACUGUUUAAUGCCGCAGGGGACCUGGGCUCUUUUCGUCUCUCCUAUGUAAAGAGAAUUUCCUCCAUCCAAGUAAAACUGAUGCGAUCGGUCAGCUUUCUAGACAACAGAAAUAAAUAAUUCUCUCUGUGAGGAAUGACAAAUAUUCCUAUGACUAUGAAAACUAUAAAUCUACUUUCAAUUUAUAAUCUUAGAAAGAUUCAGGGAAAUGAACCAUCUAUGAUAUAGUAAAAUGCACCAGAGACUGCACAUUCUUAAUAAUAUGUCGAUUAUGAUAGUAGAUUGUAGAAAAAAACACAUAGUGUUAGAGUUUUACCUUUACCAAUUGCCUCUUUGUUUUGUGGGUUUUUUGUUUUUUGUUUUGUUUUGUUUGUGUUUGGUAUGAAGAAAUGGAAAGCAGAGAAGCUUGGAGAUUUACCAGGACUGAAUUUCUUCACAGUCAACAAUUGGCUCUUAAACUUGCAAAAUAUUUGGAGCAUGUGUUUUUCUUUGCUUGUUAGUUUUCCCACACUACAGUUUUUCUAGAUUUUGCUAAUCCAAGUGCCUGGCUCAUUUUUCCCUCAGCAUCCUUAUGCAUUUCCUCCCCAGAUCAAAUUCCCUGCCUAAAUUAGUACACAUUUUUGUUCUUGAAGAAAGAACCGAAUCAGAAAGAGAAUCAAAAUAGACCAUUAUUGUCCUGGCAUGAAGACAAGCAAUUAUUGUAUUCUUCAUUGCAGUUUUUUCACUUAAAAUCAUCCCAGAGUCGGGCUUUCAAAGAAUUGAAUGAAGCCCAUCCACACUGGGAAGGCAAUCUGCUUUGUUCAGUCUACUGAUUCAACUGUCAAUCUCAUCCAGAAACACCUUCCCAGAUGCACCAAGAAUGUUUAAGCAAAUAUCUGGGCACCUCGUGGUCCAGUCAAUUUGACAUAUAAAAU